AUUAAUGAUGAUUUCCUAGACUAGAGUCUCUGAAUACAACAUGAAGUUAACUUCACAGUGCACUGAAAA
ensembl:snoRNA